AUUGAACGCUGGCGGCAGGCCUAACACAUGCAAGUCGAGCGGAAGAAGGGAGCUUGCUCCUGGAUUCAGCGGCGGACGGGUGGGUAAUGCCUAGGAAUCUGCCUGGUCGUGGGGGAUAACGUCCGGAUACGGGCGCUAAUACCGCAUACGUCCUGAAGGAGAAUGUGGGGGAUCUUCGGACCGCGCGCUAUCAGCUGAGCCUAGGUCGGAUUAGCUAGUUGGUGGGGUAAAGGCCUACCAAGGCGACGAUCCGUAACUGGUCUGAGAGGAUGAUCAGUCACACUGGAACUGAGACACGGUCCAAACUCCUACGGGAAGCAGCAGUGAGGAAUAUUGGACAAUGGGCGAAAGCCUGAUGCAGCCAUGCCGCGUGUGUGAAGAAGGUCUUCGGAUUGUAAAACACUUUAAGUUGGGAGGAAGAGCAGUAAGUUAAUACCAGGCUGUUAUGACGGUACCAACAGAAUAAGCAACGGCUAACUUCGUG
rnacentral:rRNA from 1 species